UUAACUUGCGAGCCAGCGGCGAUUGCUAGAGAGAAAACAGAGGCACAGCAGAAAUCUUCGGACCACUUUGUCAUUUUAAAAGUUUUUAGGACAAAUCUACGAUUUUAACACAAGUUUUUUGGAGGGUCUGCUGCUGUUCAAUCCGAAAAUUGAAAGUUUGCAAGGUACUGUGAAAUCACAAGAAGUGAGUUUGAGGCUGAUCCGAAUGUCUGUGGUCCUCCACGCACCCCAGAGACGUAUGACGCGGCUGUUGCUGAUCUCCAGGCUGAAAACAUCCAAGGUGUCAGAGGAAUAAAGGUGGCAUUUUUUCUUCAAUGCAAAUAUGAGUGACUCAGAGCAAACAUUCCUAGAUGUCGCCAUCAUGGAAGUCCUACCACAACUUCAAGCAGUGAACAAAAACAUCCUGGAAGAGCACUUGCAGUCCAUUGGAGUCGAGACGUAUGAUGAUCUACGCUCGUAACGGAGGCUGAUUUGAUGACUGCAUUAAGACCUGUACAAGCCAGAAAGCUUCUUUCUGUUUGGAAACAGAAAUACCACACUCCUGAGAACAGCUCCCUAUCAUCUGUGGAAGCCUCACCUUCCCAAUCGCGGUCAUUGCUCUCUGUUUCACCCCAAAGUACAUCGUCAACCUCCUCCAGCAGCCCAGGAGUUGACACACAUUGGGAUGACAACUUUGAAAUUCCAUGGAGUAAAUUUCCUGACGAAGUGAUGCAUUCUUUGGAGAGGGAAAAAGGCCAGGCCCAAAACUGAGGAGGAAAAUGGUCCGGAUUGUUGUGACUGAGAUGAUGGAAAAAUGCCCUCAUGUAGGUAAAAAGCAUUCAACUGACGUUGCAACAAAAAUGGUGGCAAAAUAUCCCAAAUCUCUCCAGGAUGUAAUAGAUGGUGAUAUUGUUGGAACAGGCUACCAUUCACUUGUCAAACAGUUGCUAAACAGAAUUGAAAAUGUGAGGCGCACUUCAACACCCAAAAUAAGAAAAAGAAAACAUCAGACUGAUGUCUCAGACCACACAGACGAGAUCCCAUUAGAAGAGAGAGCAGCAAUGCAGGAUACUUACGGAUGCAUUAAAUGGAAUGUAAAAUUUCUGCCCCUUGAAGAAACUCAAGAGAGCCAGCAGCAAAAGAUGGAAAAACUCAAGGUGAUGUUCCAACACUCUGAUGCCAAUCCAGAAGAGGUAAAAUGUCUAAUGAAGUCCACAUUUUAUACCCAGCGUCAACAUGUCAACCAGGGAAAAAGUAUCAAAUGCCUUA